rnacentral:rRNA from 1 species
AAAGAUUUUGGCGGUAUUUUAGUCUAUUCAGAGGAAUCUGUCCUAUAAUUGAUAAUCCACGAUUUAAUUUACUUUUAGAAAAAAUUUAUAUAUCGUCGUAGUUUGAAUAUUUUAAAAGAAUUUUAAUGUUCAAAAUUUUUUUAUAAAAUUAAAUCAGAUCAAGGUGUAGUUUAUAUAAAAGAAGAGAUGGAUUACAUUAAAUUUAUUUAAAGAUUAAUUUUUGUAAAAUUUUAUGAAUAUGGAUUUGAUAGUAAUUUUUUUAAAAUUUUAAAAAUGAUUUAAGCUCUAAAAUAUGUACACAUCGCCCGUCGCUCUU